GUGCUGUAGGAGAGAAGGUUAGCACUCCCCUGUAUAAGGACGGACAACACAUACAGUCGCUCAGGUGACACCAUGUGU